rnacentral:lncRNA from 1 species
CAUCCCAUUGGUCAGAUAUUUUCAACUCUUAACUUUUAAUUUUAUGCUUAGGAUUAGUAUCUUCAUCUCCCCCACUUCUUAAAAUUCAAAAUCUCUACCCCUUUUCAAAAACCUUUGUUGCUUGUGAUUUCAAACUUUGACCUAUUUCAAAUAGAAACUUUGGCCUUAUGCAAUUGCAUUUUUGAACUCCUUUUCUUAAAAUCAAACUUGUAAAUAAAUCUAAUCAUAUUGACUUAAAAUUUCAAAAGAAAAAAAA